rnacentral:rRNA from 1 species
CAAGCGUUGUUCGGAAUUACUGGGCGUAAAGGGCGCGUAGGCGGCCUGUUAAGUCGAACGUGAAAUCCCCGGGCUCAACCCGGGAACUGCGUCCGAUACUGGCAGGCUUGAAUCCGGGAGAGGGAUGCGGAAUUCCAGGUGUAGCGGUGAAAUGCGUAGAUAUCUGGAGGAACACCGGUGGCGAAGGCGGCAUCCUGGACCGGCAUUGACGCUGAGGCGCGAAAGCCAGGGGAGCAAACGGG